rnacentral:lncRNA from 1 species
AAAGAAAGAACCGGCAGAGAAGAAGAAAAGGGAAAGAAAAGAGGGAAGAAAAAGAAGAAGAAAAAGGAAAAAAGGAAGAAGAAAAAGAAAGGAAAGAGGUAGUUCAAGGUUCAUUUCAUUUUUCCUCUCUUUUUAUUUUCUUCAAGAGGUAGAUAUAUUUUAUGUUAAAUUUUAGGGUUUUAUUUUCGCUCGAAAAUUUUCAGAUUUUUGAGAGGAAUCCUACUUGGAGUUCAGGUUAUUGAUUCUUGAAUUUCUAUCUACACUAAGGUAAGGAGAUAAAAAUGGCGAACCUUAGUUUUUAAAUUUGAUGAUUGAGCAUGGAUUAUUUGUGGAAAUGAUUAUAUAAAUGGAAUAUUUCACUUGGGAGUUGAUUUUAUGGAACAAAAUGUAGAUUAAAUGGGUGGAAUUAUGGUUACUAGUUUCACUUGAUUGGAGAGUAAAAUUAGUUUUAAACUUGGGAAGAAGGUUAUGUUGAUAAUUAGUUAUUAGUCAAGAGAUUAUAAAGUGUGAUUAGCUCCAAUUAAUAAAGGAAAAUUUGAGAAUUUAUUCAAGUGUCACGAGAAUUUAAAUUAAGUUCUAUCAUUAGAUAUUAAAGUUUGUUGAUUAGAUAGAGGAUAAAUUGGUUAUUAAUAUCGUAUUUCAGGUGGUGACGAGGAAAUUGGAAACGUUUAUCAGGCAAUCUAGCUUGUAGCUCCUACCUUGUAAGUGGAUAAAACUUAUUUUUAAGAAAUAAGUCUUCUUUAAAUUUUAAUGUUAUUUAUUUUAUAAAGUUGACUUCAUAGCAUGAUUUUCAGAAUAAAAUGGACUUUAUUAUCAAUUGCUUUUAAAGUUAAAUUCAGUUCAGUUAAAUUAUUUUAGUAGCAUGUAUUAUAUUCUUAUUACAUAUUUCAGUAUAGUUAAAGUUAUUUCUAAAAACCACCAGAAAGUACCCAGAUGAUUUUACCCCAGUUUGCACUGAUGUGAAUGUGUUUCCAUAAUAUAUGACUAGUUAUAGUGAUUUUACUCGCUUUGCACUAUCGUGAAUGUGUUUUCAUAGUGUAUGACCAGAUUAUCAAUGAUUUUUGGGACCCACUCUCAUACACACAUAGGCUUUGGGCCGUGUACUAGGGUGAUUAGCCUUUGGGGCAGCUCUGCGUACGUAUGACCAGAUUAUCAAAUUAUCAAAUUUGAAUGGCUUUACCUUGUACAUCGAGAUUACUCUGUACAUGAGUAAGGCUAUUCAUUGGGUACUAUUUUUAGUGUGAUUUUUCAGUACUUAUUCAGUUCUCAGAUUUCAGAUUAUGGAAUUCAGUUAAUUCAGUUUUCAGAAUAAAGUUUUCAGCUUCUCGUAUUAAGUAGCAGCAAUAUUUCAUAGAUUUUCAUGAAUAUCAGAUUGUUUAUAAUUGUUAUACCUUACAGAUACUUAUCUAGAAGUUAGAACAAAGAAUUUUAUAAUGUAAUCUUAUUUAGUUUUUAAAGGCAUUACUAGAUUCAGAAAUUCUCAAGGAUUUAAUAAAGUUAAAAUUUUUAGAAAAUAUGCAUAAAUGGAAAAAGUUUACUUAUUUGCAAAUCAUCCACUCAACGAGUUACAAACUCAUAUUUUUGUCAUGUUUUUCCUUUUAGGAGACCGUUGAUUUUUGAGAUACUUGGAAAAGCCUGCUGAAGCGAAAGAGACCGUUUCAUAGUAUGUAAUGAAUAGUUGGGGGACUCAUGUUUGUUAAGUAUUUUGUCUAAUAUUUGGGGUGUCAUGCACUUUGUAGAAGGGUUUGUAAUUGAUGUAAUGCUUGCACGUAGACAUGAUGUUGUUGCAGAAGUACUCAGUCGAAAUUUGUUAUAUUUGUUUUAGUUGUGGUGGUAUUAGUGGAAGUGGUGGUUUCCAAAACUUUUGGUUUGAAUGUCUAUUCGAGGUCUUGAUGAUUUUUCAGGUUGGUUUUGUCCAUUUUUAAGGGGAAACUCUGUCAAAAUUUUCAUAGAAAUUUAGCAUAGUCAAAUUAGGUCAAGUUUGCCUAGGUGGUGGGUUUGGCAUUUAGCUGGCAUUUACCAUCGGCGCACGACACGCGUCGAGUCAAUUAGGUUGAGUCGGG